AUUGCAUCAGCCUCAACAACUGUUACUGUGUGGUUUGCGAUGCUGAAGAAGAGCUCGUCGUUCAGUGCAGCGUUAAUUAGCCGUAAAAGGCUGGUCCAUCAGCCCAACCAGAACGCAGCUGCCUGAUCCCGUGCCUGAUUUCCCACCACAAAUCGAAAAAAUCACUUGCAUGGAGAUAUUGUUUGGAACAUGGUUCAUGACUUUUAUCAGAAGGCGGUCGCCUUCUCUUGCCACAAGCCGAGGCCCUGGGAACUGCCCAUUGACUGAAACAAUGCUCCUCGUGUGGCAAAGGCGUGUCACAUUUUGCAUUUUGAUCUACAUUAAGAAACAUCCAUUUGUUUAUUUGCACACUUCUGCAUAAAGUGCCGAGGAAGAACUAUGAGAAUGCAAGCAAACGCGUAGAAGAAGAGCUGAGACGCUGUGGAAACCGCCAUUCCUCAAUGAACAGGUGGGUACUUUGUUUUAUAAUGGAACAAUAUAUGGAUUGCUUGGGGAUGAAGCAAUAAAAGAGAGAGGGUAGCUAUCAGAGAAGGUCAAAUUAGGGUUAAAACAUCAAAUCCGUUUCAUGGAGAUGACGAACAGUGGGGAAACCUCAAUGGACGCCGGUUUUUCCCCAAGCAAAUGACCUAACUCCUCCGUAUCCUUGCUCACAAAGGCAUGCCAUUUUUAUUAGUCUACAAUCUCUAUCUAUGUGUGCAUGCAUGUAUUAUGUAUAUGUAUGUAUACAUGCUGCAUACGUGUGUAUUUGUCUGCAUGUAUGUAUGUAAAUAUGUAUGCACUUGCGUAUGUUUGUGCGUGUGUGCAUGCAUGUGUAUGUGUAUGUGUAUGUGUGUAUGUAUACACAUAUGUAGAUGAUGUAUGUAUGUAUACAUGUCGGAUGGACAUGUAUAAUAAUGGAAACACAAGUUGACGUCGCAAGUAGAUUGAAAUAUGA